AUUUUCAAACAUUCACAAUUAUUCAUCAUUUUUUCUAAUAUACGGACGAUAUCUAUAAUAAUUUAUAAAGUUAUGUAGGUGCUAAGUUACAGCAUAACUCCCAUAAUGGUCUACAUGCUGAUCCAGUUUUCAGAUUCUCCAUAGUUAACAAAAGGUUAUAUUAGGUUUUCUGCACAGGUCCCAUGUCGUGUGUGCUUGUUUGGGUCUAUCAUUGCUGACACUGCUUGAUUGACUUUAUUAUCUUCAUCCCAUGUUUUACUUCUUUUCUUAAGAAAAAAACCAACAAAAAAAGAGUCUCUUGCAGUUUUCUUCUUGUACUUGAGCUCUCAGUGUGCUUCCUUGCAAGUUCAUGACUGAGGCUAUAGGGUUUUCUUUGCAACCAGCACACUACUGCUGUGAUGUGCAGAGAUCUUUAAAGCUAUUGAUUGCUGUCAUGUGAUAAGUGAUGUUGAUGCAGAAAUCACUAAUGAAAACUGAUUGAUUGAAUGUUGAUAUCAUCAGGAAUUGUAUAAAUCUGUUGCAGGCUUAAUUGCUCCUGUCUUGUCACCUUUUUGAAUAUUUAUAAUGUUCCAGCAAACCAACUUGGCCAAGUAAAUGUGUUUAUGCCCUCAAAAAUAAAAGAUUCUGCAACCUUUUUCUCUGCACCUUUGCUGUCUUUUUUAGUGAUUUCAGCAAAGACUUGACACGAGAAGAUGAAUGAAACUUGCAACCCACUUGAGGUUUCCAAUCAUAGUUGGAACUUUACCUGAACAAAUUCCUUUCAUUUCAUAUCCGAAAGACUGAAAGAUGCUUCAACCACAACACAAGACUGCCUGCUUUUUUAACAGCUACUCAGUGUCAGCUACCUCCAUGUGGAAGGCUUUCUUCAGGCCUGAAGCUGAUUUAAGCCACCUGAGUACCAGUUUCACGAAAUGGGUGGUGACCGAUGAUGAUAAGCAUGGCAACAGCAAAGCCCAAGAUUCCAUGACAAGAUAAAGUCGAGCUUUCGUCUACGACUCGUUCGACUCAACUAUCCACCUUGCGGAUGUGAUGAGCAGUGGCGCCACACCUCCAACUCGGGUCCCACACUGGUUAUGAAGCGCCAAUGGCAGAGGGGGCAACAUCUGCAUUCCCUCCAUCACGGCAGUCCAAUGUCGAUCAGACGUACCACCAGCAAGAGCACGUGAAAGCCACUACCACCGCCCUUCUCUUUCCCGGUCGGUAUCGUUCUUUCUUCGGCUAUCGAUUAAUGGGGUUAAUUACCUGCAACUAAACUUGCUAAUGUGCUUGAAAUUAAACCACAGAUUAAGAUUAGAGAUAAAUAUUCCUCUUUCAA